GCAGUCUGCAACUCGACUGCGUGAAGGUGGAGUCGCUAGUAAUCGCGGAUCAGCAACGCCGCGGUGAAUGCGUUCCCGGGCCUUGUACACACCGCCCGUCAAGUCAUGAAAGUGGGCAGCACCCGAAGACGGUGGCCUAACCCUUGUGGGGGGAGCCGUCUAAGGUGAGGCUCGUGAUUGGGACUAAGUCGUAACAAGGUAGC
rnacentral:rRNA from 1 species